rnacentral:rRNA from 1 species
CCUACGGGAGGCAGCAGUGGGGAAUAUUGCUCAAUGGGGGAAACCCUGAAGCAGCAACGCCGCGUGGAGGAUGAAGGUUUUCGGAUUGUAAACUCCUUUUGUUAGAGGAGAUAAUGACGGUAUCUAACGAAUAAGCACCGGCUAACUCCGUGCCAGCAGCCGCGGUAAUACGGCGGGUGCAAGCGUUACUCGGAAUCACUGGGCGUAAAGAGCGCGUAGGCGGGAUAGCAAGUCAGAUGUGAAAUUCUAUGGCUUAACCAUAGAACUGCAUUUGAAACUGUUAUUCUUGAGUAUGGGAGAGGUAUGUGGAAUGCUUGGUGUAGGGGUAAAAUGCAUAGAGAUCAAGAGGAAUACUCAUUGCGAAGGCGACCUGCUAGAGCAUAACUGACGCUGAUGCGCGAAAGCGUGGGGAUCGAACAGGAUUAGAUACCCGUGUAGUC